CUACCCUUUCACAUCUUCUUCUUUCUUUCUCGAUUUUUCACUUAUGUCCUCUAGAUUUUCUUCAUCGCUCCUCUUCUAUACCAAAGCAUCGUUCUACAAUACUCCUCUUCCACCAAUUCCAUCAUCAUCGACUAAGGACAACUUUUUAAUGGCAAUUUUCAGGAAAAUGCUUCCCAGGAUGGUGAUGCCCUGACACAGUUAUAUUGCAAUUCUAUCACCGGUUUUGAGACACAUAAAUCUUCUUAAGCUUGCUCAUUUUUCCGUCAUAGUAUCCCAACAGCAUGUGGAGAAAGAAACAAAUGUUGGUUAUCUUAAAGGGGUGAUGGAUAAGCUUAAUGUACAAAGGAGAAUCGUAUAGAGGAACCUGUCCUCUACACAAAGAUGCAGAUAGCUCUGUUUAAUCUUAAGCAAGGGGAACAAAAAGAAUGCAAGAUACUCUUAGAAAAUGGAAAAACCACACUUGAUAACAUGACUAAUAUUGGUCCAUCAGUGGUACAAGGAGGUGGCGCCGGAGAUAACGCUGAGGAGGGUUCGAAGGUUGUGGUCGAGAAGUCAGUUUCAGCAAUGUUUCCCUUUUAUAUGCAUGAAAGCUAUUAUAGUAUUAUUAGUACCGAAAUUGUGUAUAUCUACGCCUUUUGCGAGCAACCCUCUUGUUUAUGUUGCAUUGCUUAGUAUUUAAAUUACCUUGUGUGAUGGUUUUUUUUAGAGGAACAUGGAAGACUUGUGAUUUUCAUUUUCAUGUGCCUAGGAAAUACCCAUUGCACGAUUUGCACCUUUAGGAUCACCUAUGUAUUAAGAAAUUUGAUUAACCUACUACAUUAUGUAAAUAGCUAUGUUAUAAUCUAUUAUAUCAAUGUUUUCAA